CCUACGGGAGGCAGCAGUGGGGAAUUUUGGACAAUGGGCGCAAGCCUGAUCCAGCAAUGCCGCGUGAGUGAAGAAGGCCUUCGGGUUGUAAAGCUCUUUUGUCAGGGAAGAAACGGUGGAGGUUAAUACCUUCUGCUAAUGACGGUACCUGAAGAAUAAGCACCGGCUAACUACGUGCCAGCAGCCGCGGUAAUACGUAGGGUGCAAGCGUUAAUCGGAAUUACUGGGCGUAAAGCGUGCGCAGGCGGUUGUGCAAGACAGAUGUGAAAUCCCCGGGCUCAACCUGGGAAUUGCAUUUGUGACUGUACGGCUAGAGUGUGUCAGAGGGGGGUAGAACUCCACGUGUAGCAGUGAAAUGCGUAGAGAUGUGGAGGAAUACCGAUGGCGAAGGCAGCCCCCUGGGAUAACACUGACGCUCAUGCACGAAAGCGUGGGGAGCAAACAGGAUUAGAUACCCUGGUAGUCCACGCCCUAAACGAUGUCUACUAGUUGUCGGGUCUUUAUUGACUUGGUAACGCAGCUAACGCGUGAAGUAGACCGCCUGGGGAGUACGGUCGCAAGAUUAAAACUCAAAGGAAUUGACGGCNGAGAGAGCGAGACGACACGAGGGAGGAGG
rnacentral:rRNA from 1 species